rnacentral:misc_RNA from 1 species
GAUAUGUCAGAUAAUAAUAAUAAGUGUCAACCAUUGAUAAAAAAAAAUAAAAGCGGAGAUUACAAUUAUUACUAAUUAUUGCAGUUUGCCAAAUGAAAUGACUGUUCCUAUUUUUCGGAGAAAUUAUAAAGAUGGAGAAAUUUGCUGUUGAUUUAGACCAAGUUCUCAAUGACUUUGAAUACAGUGAAUUAACCGAUCAGUAUAAUUCUGUAAGGAAUCCUGUAGAAGCUCCAAGCCCUGCUCCUCAAAAUAAUGUGUUGAAACACUCAAUUAACAAUGUUUUUCAUAGUCUAAAUGAAUAUUUGAGCAGCAGUAUCGAUGUACCUGCUGUAGAUAAUGAUUUGAGUUCUAAAGAAAAAGAUUUAGAUAGAGGAGAUAAUUCUAAUUCGCAGAAUAAAGAAGUAUGUAUACAAUAUCCUGAUAACAACGGAGAUAAAGGCAGUAACAUCAGUAAUGUAGAAAAUACAUCUUGUGACAUUAAAACUGAGAAUGCUUCAGUACAAGAAACUAUCAAAGACAAUUUAACAGUAGCCAAUAAUGACUCAAUUGAAGAGCUUACACCUGAUACAUCUGAGGAAAUCGUAUUCAUAGAAGGAGAAAAAAUCAAACAAACCCAUUCUGUCAGUCAAUUAGAAGAAACUACAACUAAGGGAAGUGAUGAACUUCUCAUUGAAAUAGAAGACGUUAAAGAUACAACUACUGAAAGAGAACUAGACAAUACAAUUACAGAGAAUCUCGGUAAAACUGAAGAAGUAGAAAAGUCUGAUAGAUUAGUGGAGGAAGUUAGUUCUAAAAUUUCAGAAGAUCUAGUAAUUAAACCUAAUGAAGUGGAUAAUCAAGUUGUUUGUGAAGACACCAUAUAUCCAGAAGUAUUGGAAGUCAGUGAUGAAUCAGACAAAGAGGGAAAUAUUAGUAACAUAAAAGAAGAUCGACCUGUAGUAGUAGGUUUUGAGGCUGUAACUAAUCUAGAGGAUGAUGAAGUGGAUAAGUUGUUAGAAGAAUUAGAAAAUGACCAAGAUUUACUUCAGGAAUCUCAAUUACUACAACAAGAACAUAAAGAGGAAAAGAGAGAUAAUCAAGUUGAAAAUAUAUUAGUUUUAGAAAAACAUGAAGAAGUUGAGGAGUCAGUUGAUCAAUUUCCAAUAACACAAUUAUUAAAGGAACCAAACAUUUUAAUAUCCACUGACUCAGAGAAACCUACAAUAGAAAUUAUAAAUGAAGAAGUAAAGAAUAUUCCUAUAGAUAAACUAGAAGACAGUAAUGUUUUGCCAAAUGAGAUAAUUCAAAAUGAAGAUAAAGAACAUGUUGAAACAGUUCUGGAGGCAUCUAUUAAUAAAGAACAACCUUUGCAAAUUACAAAGGAACUCACUAGAGAAGUUGAACUACCAGAGGUUCUAAAAGAAUCAGUUAAAAAUGAAGAACCUCCAGAAAUGUUAAAAGAUCCAGUUACUGAUGAAGAGCCAAAAGAAACUCAAGCAGCAAAAGAGGAAAAAAUGCAAGCUCUGAAAUCAGUAGAUAAAGAAAAAGAAGAAGUAUAUGAAGAAGAAAAACCAGCAACACUUCUAGAGGAACCCGUCAAAGAACAAGAUCAAAUUAUGGGGGAUGUUAGUGAGCAAAAAUUGCCAGAUAAAGAAAGCAUUGCUGAAUGUAUUCCCAAAGAAGAAGAAGAAACUGUUAAUAAGAAUGAAGAACUUGUUGAGAAUAGUUCCAAGGAACAGGGUAAUACAAGUGACGAAAAGACUGAAACAGCAAAUAUUAAACUUGAAAGGCAAGAUAGUGCAUCUAGACCACAUCAUUUACAACUUAAGGAAGAAGAAAAUGAAAAACAAAGGGAAAUUAAUCUAAUAGGUGCUCCGGGUUCAACGCCAUAUAACAAUGUUUACAUAAGCGAAGAAAUCCACAAACAGGACGACCGAGAUAGCGAAUCUAUAUCUUCCACGUCAUCGAACACCUUCUCCGACACCGGAAGUACAGCUUCGACCGCGUCUACCGAAGAAAUUAGAGACGACCAUGACGAUAUUAAUCCCAACAUAGGGGAAGAAAGGAGAAUACCCACGGAAAAUUUAGAAAGAGACAGCAGGGAGUUGUCCGACGAAGGUCCUGAUUUGCGCAAUCUAGAAGAGAGUUUAGAGCCCCCUAGAGGAAGUGAAAGCGAAGCUAGGGGAACUGCAGAAGGUAUCACUAGCAGCGGGACGCAUGAAAAACAAUGGUUGGGGAAAGAGGCGCCUUUGUGGAUUCCGGAUUCAGAUACUACUAGUUGCUUGCACUGUGAUAUGAAGUUUACUGUGUUGAAGAGACGGCAUCACUGUAGAGCCUGUGGAUUGGUCCUGUGCGCCAAAUGCUGCCAUCUUCGUUUCAAAUUGGAAUAUUUGGACGCAGAAGCCAGAGUGUGCAACAAAUGCCACGAUAUACUAAACAGAGACACCAACAGCAGCUCAAGUUCGGACCUCUCACCAGACCACGGCAACUCCCCUCUUCGACGACCUAAUCCCAACAAUCCUCUGGAAUAUUGUUCGACAAUCUCACCUUUGCAACAAGUUAGUGGUGCGUCCAAUCAAAUACCUGCUGUUAUGGUACCAGUUGGAGUUUUGAAAAGAAAAGGUAGUACCAAAGCCAAAUCCAAUAAGAGCGUCAUGUUUUGUGACGGUAUUCGCCCGGGAAGCGACCUGACUAAUCUGGAUAACGACUUUAACUAUAGUAACACGAAGACUAAGAAAUUGGAGAAAACUAGUACUAAUGCCGGGAAAAUAAACAGGAAUUUACCGUUGAUGGAUUCUGACACUAACUCAUUUAUUCCGAAGAGUGAGAACAGCCUUCCACCUUUGAUAACCAUAACAAAAUCAGAUAUUUCGUACACGGAUUGCCUGAACAACCCCCAAACAGUGGAAAUGUUAAAAGCUAACGAACUGACAUUCGCCAUUUUGUUGAGUUUAUACGUCCACGUAAAGAUCAUAAAUAUGAGUUGCUGCAUUAACAAGACGGCAUGGUGCUUUUCUACAGAGGGACUCAUCAACGUUGGGCAGGACGAGAUUGUAAUUAUUUUAGAGUAUAUAGAUGAGGAGUCUUUUGUGCCGAAAGAUGUUUUUUACCAUAUUAAUAACGUUUAUGCGGAUGCAGUGAAAGGUACGUCAAUUAAAGAGCUUGGCCUAUCACUCCACAAUUCAUCGAACUUUUUGGAUUCCAAGAACCACGCGGGAUUCGUCUAUAUCCGGCCCACUUUCCAAUGUUUAGAAAAUGUGAUAAAGUCCAAAGAACCUUUUUUGAUAGGUAUUUUAAUACAUCGGUGGGAGACGCCGUGGGCCAAACUUUUCCCCUUAAGACUGAUUUUGAGAUUAGGAGCAGAAUAUAGGUACUAUCCAAGCCCUGUGAUAUCGACGAGACACCGAGACAGCGUGUUUGUAGAAAUUGGACAUACCAUAAUUAAUUUGUUAGCAGAUUUUAGGAAUUUUUCAUAUACUCUGCCGCAGAUCAACGGCUUGACUAUUCAUAUGGAGGACAAAAAUACUACUCUUACCAUUCCAGUUAAUAGAUAUGACCAGGUGAUAAAAUCUUUAAAUAAUUCAAGCGACCACAUAUUAGCAUUUGCUGGGACGUUUAGUCAAACUGCUGACUCACAUUUGAUAUGCAUGCAGGAUACUCAGGGAGAUGAAAAUUGCUAUUCAACGCAUACUAUUAAUAUUCAGAACAAGCCUAGAAAAGUUACUGGCGCAAGCUUCAUAGUAUUCAACGGAGCGUUGAAGUCUUCCAGCGGUUUAACGGCCAAAUCCAACAUUGUCGAAGAUGGACUGAUGAUCCAGGUGUUACCGGAGCAUAUGCAACAGAUCAGAGACAGUCUCAGAGCCAUGAAAAACCACACGAUACCUUGUGGAUGCGUCGACGCCGACUCAGACGAGACGGUGAAUAUUGUUUGGGGCGAGAACGACGUUAAUUUCAAUAUAGGCGUAACGUCGCCCAUUGACGGCAUGCCCUUGAACGGCAUUCCUUCCAUUCGAGUCCACAACGGCAAGAACUACUGCGCGAGCGGAAACAGAAUAAUAAGAUGGACGGAAGUGUUCAUCAUCCAAAAUGGCGAGGACAGUCCAAAGAAUCAAGAUCCCGUAGAUAUUUCUAGAGUAUCCGAAAAUAUAGCCAAAGGAACAUGUGAUGCGCUUCUGAACUAUCUGGAUCUGUUGGUGACGAACAAUUUUACUAAGAUUGGUAUCAGGACUAAUCUGCAAGCGGAUAGUGUUUCUUAUUCUGCCGGUAGUAACAAUACGAAGCUACCGCCCAUAUACAUGAAAAGCCUGGACAACGAGCUCAUACCGAUUCUACACAGGAUAACGUCGAGCAAUCUGGGCGAAACGGCGAUCAUCUUGGAACUAAUAUUUCGAAUUCUAAACGUUUGAGAUUAUAAUAGACAAUAAAAGUCUCCCCAUGUAUUAUAAUCUACAUAGUUGAAGUAGGUAUAAGUAUAUAAUACACAAGAAAAGUACCUCUUGACAUUCAUGAAUUACUUUUACAUAAAUGGUGUCAGAACAAUAUUAACAUAAGAUUCAAAAAUAAAGGCUUAAUCGUAAUAUGAAGAACUCUAUAGCGGUGGUUCCAUUUUUAACAGUUAACAUAUUUCAUGUGUCAUAAAGACUAGAAGUGAGAUUAUAAAUAUUUAUACCAAAUUUGUCCACAUUGUUUCAAACCUAAAAACAGUUGCAAGUAAACACUUAGUAGGAAACUUGCAUAAAAUUUUAAAUUCGAAAAAAUGUUGUAAAUCACAACAGCACCACAUGAUUUAAAACAUGUAUCAAAGAUAAAAAAAAGUUGUUUUUGUGUUCCGUUUGGCCCCUAAAGACGAUUCUAAAUUCAAAUUAUAGCAGCUAGCCCAAGACGCGUCGUGACGUCAUAUGGUUGUAUGUUUACAUUGUGCAUCAACAAAGUAAACAAUUACAAAACAAACAUUUUAAAUUAGACAUUAUAAACGUCAGUAGAAAAUACAGCUAUGUGACGUCACAAGUGUUUUUGGUCGUUUGAACUAUUUUAAAUACAUAGAAAACUUGUACUUUUACAAAAUGGCACUAAACAACACUUAUAGUGUUUCCUUUUAUUUUCCAUAGUAAACCUUCUUUACUUUCCUUCAAAAACUGUACCAUACUCCAAUCUCAACAAAGUGGUAUAUAUUAUUACAAUGACAUACGAUAAAUGUCAUUAGAAUAUAAUAUUUUUCCCUUAUUCCGCGACGAUAAGUUGGCCAAAUACCAAGUAGGUGGAGGCCAAUAAACUAAAGAAGAAGAAGAAUAUACCUAAAUAUAACCAUAAAUAUGAACAUAAAUAAAGUACAACUAUGUGACGUCACGGGUCGUUUGAACUAUUUUAAAUUACAGAAGAUUUUAAAUUUGUACUUCUAAGUUAUUAUGAGUUUUUGAAGCGUGAAAUUUUGGAAAUCUCAUUUUUAAACAAAACUGAACAUUAUUAUGUAAUAAAAAAUGUGCAAGUUCCCUAUUGUUAUUUGUAUUUGAGGUUAUGGAAACAAUUUUGCACAUUUCUUUGUUGUAAUUUUGUCUUCAUGCACUUUUUAUAUUUGCAAAAAAUGUUAGAAAUUGUUAUCCAGUGUUAUGGUGAUUAAGAGUUCGCAAUGAAUUAUUUAAAUACUUUAUUCUACAAUAAGAAUUAAAACUAAAUAUGUGCUACAUUAUUAAAUAAGAUUACAAGUGACAGUUGACAACCGGCAUUACUACUUAAACAUUAUGAACCAGCGGUUCUCAAUCUGUGGUGGUACACAAAACCCAAAAACAGCCAAAAUCAGCACCAAUAUUAUAGUUAAUUAGAUUACCUAGCUGCAUAAGUAUUUCAGUUAGGUGGUACCAAAAAUAAUAAAAAGAAUUGUGUGGUACAUGAAUCAAAGAGAUUGAGAACCACUGUCCUAUACAUUAUAAUAAUGGAAGCCAAAAGAUAGAGGUACUUUUCUUGCUGAACAACUUUCUAUAGUGUUUAGACUUCAGUUUUUUAAACAGUCAAUAGAUAUAGACAGGUUAUGGUAAAAUAUUUUUAUAGUUGAGUAGCUCGAUAUAACUUAUCAGGUUUUUAUUGAAAAUGUUUAAAAGUUGUUGAAAAAAUGGUGGUUGUUUCGUAAUGUUCGAGAAUGGAUGUGGGGUAUGGCUACUAGUGAUACUAUUAGGUAUAUUGUAUAAAUCAGGGGAGAUUUUUAAAAUGUGUCAAAAAUAUUUGUCCUGUAUAAACUGCGUGAAUUACUGUAUUCUUCUUCUUCUUCUUCAGGUGCCAUCUCCGCUACGGAGGUUGGCAAUCAUCAUAGCUAUUUUAAUUUUUGAGGCAGUAGCUCUAAAUAGUCGUUUUGAGCUGCAUCCAAACCUAAUUACUGUAUUGGAGGUUGGAAAUUCAUUAAAAAAGUGACAAAAAUAAAAUAGUACACUUAUUUUUUGCAACAUGUGGUUUGUUUAAUAUCGAUAGGGUUUCAAUUUUAUCAAUAAAACAUUACCUAGUUUUUCUUGUAUUUCAUAAGGAAGAACCUUGAUAGGUCUCACCAGUCCGCUGAAGACUUAAUGCACACUUACGCUGCUUUUUGAGAGUAAUAAUGUUUGAUGUAAUUGAUAAACCAAUUCUAUUAGUACCACAUUAUGCGAAAUGAAUCCAGAUAUGCCCUCCUACAGGUCAUCCUGCAAGGAAAAACAUUUGGAAAGCGAGGUCCAGGAAGAAGAACAUCCUGGUUAAAGAACCUCGGAACCUGGUUCAACACAACAUAAACUUACGUGCAUAGAAAUCGGUCCACCUAAAAAUUCGGUCAUUUUUGAAGUCUCAUAUUUCCUAAACUUGUUGGCCGAUCUAAGUGAUUUUUUGAACAUGUUAUAGCCUGAUUCUUUAGCAAUACCACUGUAGUAAUAUUGCUGCUAAACAGGUAAAUUUUCAUUGUAUACCGGGUGGACCAAUCAAACUGUGUUUUGUUCUCAAAGUUCGCAUCACCCUGUGGAAUAUUCUAGCAUUUAUAAAAUACUGAAAUUAAAACCCAACUAUAGACUCAGGUUUUCUUAACAUUCUGUGUUUUGAUUCAUUCGUUUAUGUUGGAUAAUAAAAAAGUUAGGUACUUUAACAACUAGACAUGUUCUUCAUCAAUACACGGUGUUUCUAAAUAAGUGCGACAAACUUUAAGGGGUAAUUCUGCAUGAAAAAAUAAUGACAGUUGGCUUUAUAAAUGUAUGUCCGCAAAUGUUUCGUUUCCGAGAUACGGGAUGUUGAAUUUUUUCUUACAAACUGACGAUUUAUUUUAUUGCUUUAAAACCGGUUGAGGUGUGCCAAUGAAAUUUGGUGGAUUUUAAGACGUAGUUAUUGCACAUUUUUUGACAUACAAUUAAGAAUUUAAUAUUCACCAUUAGCGCGCAUACGUGUAAUAUGACCGAUCAUAUUACCCGUAUGCACGCUAAUGGUGAAUAAAUAAUUCUUAAUUUUAUGUCAAAAAAUCCACAAUAACUAUCUCUUAAAACCCACCAAAUUUCAUUUGCAUGUCUCAACUGGUUUUAAAGCAAUAAAUAAAUCGUCAUUAUGUAAGAAAAAAUUCAACAUCCCGUAUCUCGGAAACGAAACAUUUGCGGACAUACAUUUAUAAAGCCAACUGUCAUUAUUUUUUCAUGCAGAAUUGCCCCUUAAAGUUUGUCGCACUUAUUUAGAAACACCGUGUAUUGAUGAAGAACAUGUCUAGUUGUUGAAGUACCUAACUUUUUUAUUAUCCAACAUAAAUGAAUUAAUAAAAAAAAAGAAUGUUAAGAAAACCUGAGUCUAUAGUUGGGUUUUAAUUUCAGUAUUUUAUAAAUGCUAGAAUAUUCCACAGGGUGAUGUGAACUUUGAGAAAAAAACACAGUUUAAUUGGUACACCCGGUAUACAAUAAAAAUUUACCUGUUUAGCAACAAUAUUAUUACAGUGGUAUUGUUAAAGAAUUAGGCUAUAACAUGUUCAAAAAAUCACUUAAAUCGGUUAACAGGUUUAGGAAAUAUGAGACAUCAAAAAUCACCAAAUUUUUAAGUGAGCCGAUUUCUAUGCACGUAAGUUUAUGUGCAGCUUUUCCGCGUUGCUGCAGAUAAAAUAAAGAUUGCCAUGAUGAUCGCCAACAUUCGUCAAGGCACGUCAAGAAGAAGAUUAGUACCACUAGAGUUAUACAACCACUCUUUCAGUUUCACAAAGUAUAGUUAGAUGAUUGAUGGUUACCAAAACACCAUUUUAUCAAACUAUGCUUCCAUUUAUUUGAUAUAUUUUUAAGUUUCAAGAAUUAUUUUCCUCAAACAGUAUUACCGUAUCACAAUCACACAUUGCAUUCAGUUUAUAUUUUUGCUUUAAGAGAUGACCACACAUUUUUAGAACACUUUUUCUGUUUAUCUACGACUAUUUAAGAAUAUGAAAAUAUUUAUCUUUAUAAUAAUAUACUUUUGGACAGUAGUUCAAUUGUGAAGGAACACUGUUGAUAGGAACAACUCAGGAGAAAAGGGAAACAGCAAGGAACAACUCUGUAGGUGUUGUCUUAACAGGGAGGAAAAUACAGGAAACAUCAAUAUAGAUCUUAACGAAACGAACAGAUAUCAGCCAUCUGCUCUACACAAAUUAUAGGAUAUGUAGACGAUCUGGUAUAAAAAACAAACAAGUUUAGAAUAACACUGAAUCGUAUAGUAUAGAAUAUAGAAGAAAAAAAUUAAAACCUAGAUGAACAGAGAUGAUAUUAUUGGCUAUAUAAAGGCCCAAGGGCAAAAAUAACCCAAAUGAACGAGAUAAUUUCCGUAUCUUAUGCAGUUUUUUGGCAUAAAGUGUAGAUUGAAUGGUAUCGAAUAUAUCUAUCUAACCAGUCUUAAACGCCCAUUUUUACUGAACGCCCAUAUUACUUACUGAAACAAGCAAACACUCCGGUAAUCUACCUCUGUUAUGUGGAGAAGUCCAAAGAGAUUUUAACUUUAAUUGCACAGUUUUGCAAAUGGUAUUAGCUGACGUCCGAUUUCCUUCCAAUUAUGUAUCCUUAUUUUCCAUCCCAAAUUUUGCUUCAAAUCCGCCACUUAACAAUGAGAAUUAAUCUCAAUAUCCGGCGUGUCCACUUUAAUAGAGUUUGACCAACUAAAAUUCCAAUCGAGAAAUCAAUUUCGCUUCAAUUCAACGAGGUUUUCGCGCGUGCGUAGAGAAAUGUCGUUUGUGAAUCGAUCGCGGGCGUAUCACAAGAAAUUUCUUGAGGGAUAUUAUUAAUGCAAUUUUAAUUGAAUUAAUUUAAUUAGUAGCGUAACCGCUACACUGGGCAUAAGCCUCCCCUGUUAAUCUCCAUUGGUUUCUAUUCUGGGCGAUCUGCCUCCAGUCCUUUCUUGCCGUUCUGUUAAGGUCGUCCAUCCAUCUCAUCUGUGGUCUUCCCCUUUUUCUUUUCUCUUCCCAUGGUCGCCAGUGUAGAAUUCGCUUAUUCCCUCUUUCAUCUUUUUACCGCUGAGUGUGGCCGGCGAAGUUCCAUUUAUUUGGCGAUUGAAUGGUAAGGAAGCAAUAAUAAGAACGUUGCUACUAACAUCUUUGAUCUCACAAUCAAUUCAACCCGUUAUUUCGACAAAGGCACAAGUCCCAUUUCUUUUAAAUAUCGCUGUUUGGUGCUACUUUAUUUCUUGAAGCGUUUAACAUGUUUUCUGUGAAAAGGGCAUAUCUUUAUAUAUCACAAUUCAUCUUAAAGAGCGCCUAACCUUUGGAUCGAAAGUUCCGAAUGGUAGUGAGUUCGAAUCCCACCAGGGUCAGGAAUUUUUUCGUUUAUUAUAAAUUAAUAAAUGAAAAUAGUUUCUGUCCUUGUGAGAUCGUUACUCACCGGAGGGACCGCAGACGUUCGGAUAUAAUUAGCGUCUCUUUGCAAAGACAAUGACGUCGACUUUGCAAAGUAACAAGACACUUACUCAACACACACACUUCACAUUAAACCUGAGUUAGUGAUAAGUUAUACAAUUACGUGGCUAAAGGUUCUAGUUCUAAACCAAGGCCAGAAUCAGAGAAAAAAAAUUCAUCUUAAAAGUUAGAAGGCAAACAAAAAUUGAAGUCUAUUUGAAAAUUGCACCAGUCCUGGACUUAUGCCCCUUUCUAUUGAAACAAAACGGAACUUUUAAUUAAUGGACUUGCGUCCUUAUUUAAAUGACGGAUUCAAUAGCUCUACAAUAUUGUAACUUUUAGAACAGCAUUACUCAAUUUAUUUACAGGAAUAGUCGUAGAAAAACAACUGAAGCAGCAUUUUAUAUUUUAAAGAUAAUGUCAAUUAACUAAGGAGUAUCUCGAGAAUAUUUCCAUCAAAUGAAAACACAAUACAUCUCUGUUAAUAUCCACUAAAGUUUUUUUCGUACUUUUAAAAAUAAGGGAGGAAUCUACAUACUUGUUUAAUGAAAUAAUGGUCUACCGCAUAGUUGGUCACGUAUUUUUUGUUUUUAUUGCAUGAUUUUACUAUGGACUUUGGUGUGUCCUGUGAAAAUGUUUUCUAUGUAAAUUUUGUUUAUUUCAUUUGAUAUGCAUCGUUAUUCGUUUGGACACGCGCUAACUCUCAACUUUUAAUGACAAACAUUUUAAAAUCAAAAUGUACACCGGCCAAUUCGUAACUUUUAUACUACCUGAUCCUGGUAACUCGAAACUUUCUACAGGUGAAUUCGACACCAUUGAUUAAAUCUAAUACCUUAGGUAGUUAGUUAAAAGGUAAGAAAUAAAUUUGAACAGUAACGGAUUAAGCCAACACGGGGGCCUAUAGCAAAUGUGAGCGAAUGGUUCUUGGUUUCUUUUCCACUUUUUAGCACUUUCUUUAAGUGAAAUUUAAAAUUAUAUACCACCAAUAGCUUAUUUACCACGUUCACUCAUUACGGAAUCUGUUAAAAAAUUUCAGUCAUUUUAACAAACUUUAUUUGGAUUUUCUCUAGUAACUCUUCCAAGAGACAAUACAUAAGUGAUAUACCUUUUACACCACCUUGAAAGAGGGUAAUUUAUACAGGUACAUACCUGGAAUACCGGUAUUAGAUUAUCAACAUCGUUAGGAACUACUUAGAAAAUGAAAGUUACAAAUUCACCGGUAGGUACUUGAAGGGUUAUCAAAAAAUUAACUGAGGGCCAGAGUUACCAGUUGGUCUGUAAUUAGGAUGGGGGAUUAAAAUAGUUACAAAUUCACCGGGACCCAUUCAUUUUUUAUAAGUGGUUUUCAUGAGAUUAAAUUAGGAACAGGUAGGAAAACAACACAGUUAAACACGAGAAUAGGACUAGCAUGGACAGUUUAUUGCCAUGUGCUUGAAAAGGAAGAUCUUUGAUCAAUGUAUACUUAAUGUAUGGAACAGAAAUUCUGACCCUUACCAAAAAAGUAAUAAAUAAAAUGCAAGUAUCGGAGAGAGCAAUGGAGGGGUCAAUGUUAAAUAUAUCUAGUGAUGGAUUCGACCGUUACUUGAUGGAGGUUCAUUUUAUCUCAGAACUGAAGACUUGUGUUUUCUACACUUCCGCAAAUGUAUUAUCAUUUAUUAUUACUACAGUUGUUUCCGCAGGAGUGCCUUUCACAGCUUCCUAAAUUAUACUUUUUUAUUAAACUACACAAAACUGACCACCCAACAAUAUCUGUAGUUUCUUUUUAUACAGCUUCAUCAUAUAAAAUUUCAAUGUACAUGUGGUGACUGCCCAAAAACUUACAUCGGUCAAACUGGUAGAACCUUUAACACAUUUAACACACAAGAAACCACUAAAUUAAUUACUAACAGUUUAAUCCAAAAGACAAAAAUGAAAGUCAAAGCAUAAAUCUAUUACGGUUUUUAAAGUAGUGUUUUUUAAACGAUAGUAGUAGUGGCAUUAAAUGGCAGCUAGAAAAGACACCAAAAUCAAUUUCUUCCAUGAUUCUUUGGGUAAGAUCUUUAGGAGCUUUCCAAGCUUCUUUUUUCUUUGCUUUUCAAAGGUCUCUCAAAUACUAUACCGUGAUGAGCGCGCUAAUAACCGGCAAAAUAAUUCAAAAGAUGGAAAACAUUGUGAAGUAAAAGAGAUGGAACUUUUAGAGGUGGAAAUUAUCGAUAUAAACGUAUGAAUUAACAUUACAUUACAUAGUUUCCCAACUUUAGACAUAUCAGAGGAGUAUAACAACUGUCACUGUGACAGGUGAAUUUUAUGAAAUACUCCUGUCACAGACUACUUUUUUCGAAAAAUGCAUUUUGAGGUUAUGUACACUCAACGUAUGGGUCUAUAAAAAAUAAACAUGUUUUGUGAAAAAACUACGCGUGUGAAUUUUUUGAAAUUUUUAAAUUGAUUGCAUCCCACCUAAAAAAAAUUAAGAACUAAAAAAAUGUAUUUGACAGGGUUGAGGGGGGUGGGGUGGUAAAAUUAAGUACCCUUUAGACAUUUAGACAAUUAUUAAAUCGUAAAUCUACGAAUUUUUCGUUAAAAUUGUUUUUAUGUUGUGCAAUAUAUUGUAGACUACUUAGUAGUUAUAUACUCAAAACCAUAAUUGAUUAUUAUAAUAAAAGAUUCCUCCCUUCAAAAUUUCACACAUCUAGUCACGUUUGAUACAUAAUUUGGUAUUAUUACUCGUAUCCAAUAUUUUAUCUAUACAUACUUUUAUUUAUACAUUAUAUUGUGAUUUUAAAUAUAUUCUAAAUUUAAAUAGUGUUGACACUAAAGGACGUACUAUUUCAUUAUCCUUUGAAAAUGUAUUUUUAAUCGAAUUAUUCUACUUAAAUGAAUACGAAGAAAUUCAAAAGUAUAAAACCAUUAUUGUAGAUUCAACAAUGAGUAAGUGGUCAUAUUUACAUAAGCUUUGAUCGCGCAGGACAUACUGGGUAUACCCAGAGGGAGAACGCCUGCGCAUUACAAAAUCGAGCGUUCACGGAGUUCAAAUAUUUCCCUCUGAACACCCUCCGGAUUUUUAAUUCGGUGUUCGCGCAGCACAGAAAAAAGAUCCUGAACGUGUUCGGAAUACCCUCUUGACGUUCGAGGAUUUUGUUUCUGAUUUUAAGUUCGCACAGGCGCACAACAUAUUUGGGAAGAAUUUCUUGACAUUCUGUUCUUACUCCUUCCAAUUCUUAACCUAAAAUAUUGUUUUGUUAUACAACUUGUAAAUGUAUAUUCUGGUUUUUAAAGUUUUGAAGUGUUGUAUCAUUUAAAUAUUCUUCAAACAAAUUUUAAUAUUUUUUAUAUUAAAGCUUUUUUAGUUGUUUUUGUCCAUGUUUUCUAUUCCGUAUUGUUUAUAAAUAAGUAGGUACCUUUUCUAGUAUUAUUUUCAUUCGAUAUUCGAUAAUUAUCUACUACGGUAGUAUUCAUCAUCAUUCUCUUUGCCUUAUCCCUAUGCGGGGUCGGCUUCCCUAAUUGCAUUUCUCCACACAAUUCUGUUUUGGGUCAUAUCAAUGUUAAUCCCCUUUACCAACAUGUCCUGCCUUAUCGCCUCCCCCCAGGUCUUCUUUGGUCUUCCUCUCCUACUCCUUCCAGGAAUCUGCACUUCAGCUAUUCUUCGUAUUGGGUGAUUAACGUCUCGACGUUGAACAUGACCGAACCAUCUUAACCUAUGCUCUCUCAUUUUGGCAUCAAUUGGUGCCACACCUAGAGUUCCCCUAAUAUACUCAUUUCUAAUUUUAUCCUUCUUUGUCACUCCACUCAUCCAUCUAAGCAUUCUCAUUUCCGCCACAUGCAUUCGUUGUUCCUCUUUCUUUUUCACUGCCCAACAUUCAGUUCCGUACAUCAUAGCCGGUCUUAUGGCUGUUUUAUAGAAUUUUCCCUUCAGCUUCAUUGGAAUUUUUCUGUCACACAACACACCACUCGCUUCUUUCCACUUCAUCCAUCCAGCCCUAAUUCUACUGCAUGCAUCUCCAUCUAUUUCUCCAUUACUCUGUAAUACCGAUCCUAGGUACUUAAAACUAUUGCUUUUCACAAUCAUUUCACCAUCCAAAGAUACCAUUUUAUUUGUAGUAGCUCCAUCUUUAAAUGAACAUUCCAAAUACUCUGUUUUUGUCCUACUAAGUUUUAAACCUUUUUCCUCCAGAGCUUGUCUCCACUGUUCCAGUUUUUGUUCUAAGUCUCUUUCACUAUUUCCUACUAACACGACAUCAUCAGCAUACAUUAAGCACCAUGGAAUGUUACCCUGUAGUUUCGCUGUUAUCUGGUCCAAAACUAAUGAGAAUAAAUACGGACUAAGCACAGAGCCUUGGUGCAAUCCUACUUUCACAUGAAAUUUAUCAGUCUCUCCCACACCUGUCCUAACACUAGUCGUUACUCCCUCAUACAUAUCCCUCACAAUCUUUACAUAUUCACCAGGGACUCCUUUCUUAUUGAGUGCCCACCACAGAAUCUCUCGAGGAACUCUAUCAUAUGCUUUCUCAAGAUCAAUGAAUACCAUAUGAGCGUUUGUUUCUUUACUCCUGUAUUUUUCCAUCAACUGCCUUAUAAUGAAAAUUGCAUCUGUUGUUGAUCUACCCUGCAUAAAGCCAAAUUGAUUCUCGGAUAUUUCGGUCUCUUCACGUAUCCGUCUGUCAAUUACUCUUUCCCAUAUUUUCAUGGUGUGGUUAAGCAGUUUUAUAGCCCUGUAGUUUGUACAUUGUUGUAUAUCUCCCUUGUUUUUGUAAACAGGUACCAGUAUACUGCUUCUCCAUUCGUCUGGCAUUUGUCCGACUUCCAUAAUUCUAUUAAAUAGACCUGCUAGCCACCUUGUUCCUGUCUCUCCCAAUGCUCUCCAUACUUCCCCAGGAAUAUCAUCUGGUCCUACCGCUUUUCCUUUCUUUAUUUUUUGAAGCGCUUGAGCCACUUCCUCGUUGGUUAUUUUGGUGACCAUUGCUGCUACUGUCUCCGUUGCCUCUACAGGCUGUCUGUCAAAUUCUUCAUUUAAUAAGCUGUCAAAGUACUUUCUCCAUCUCUUUUUGACUUCCCUUUCGUGAACUAGUAUUUUAUUAUUUUCAUCUCGGAUACAUCUAAUCUGAUUAAAAUCUUUUGCUUUCCUUGCUCUCUGUUUGGCUAUUUUAUAUAUCUUCGUUUCGCCUUCCCUGGUAUCAAGUUGAUCAUAUAGGUGUGAAUACGCUUCUGCUUUGGCUUUUGCUACUGCUACUUUCGCUUCCUUUUUCGCCACCAUAUAGUUUUGAAGAUCUGUGUCGGAUCUGGUUUCUUGCCACUUUUUAUAUAAUUUUUUUACUACUAAGUUUUUUACCACUACUACGGUAGUAUGUAUUACAAUAAAUUGUACUAUGUUUUUACUUAAUUUCUUCUAUCUAGAUGAGCUUAUAAGUACCUACAUAUUCUUGUGGUUUAUUUUUCAGUUUAAUUUAUGAGUUAGGUAAAUUAGUCUCUUAUUGAAUAUAAUGAAACAUAAACAACACAUCAAAUUUAUUCUGAAACUAUUUCUUGUGUCUUGUUAUAUUUCAUUAUUUUUGUGGUGUAAUAAACCACAACACAAUGCCACAACCUAUCAAAUUCAAUACAUACAUAUAAAAAUUGGAAAUUAUUGCUUUUCUAAAUUAUUCCUUCCUUCAGAUAAUGUUCAACCCCCAGGAAGUUAAAGGUAAUUUUUAUAUGUAAAUAUCAACAAUCUUUUACUCUCUACAAAAAUGUAAGCCGGAUUUCGGCGUGGAAAUACCACAUUAUAUUGUCGAAAUAAUAAAGAAAGACGCUAAUCAAAUUUCUAACUUCUAAGAAAGGCAUUGAAUUAUUGAAUAGAAAGUUAAUCAUUUGCCUGUUGCUGUUAUUCUCUUUCUCUUUGUUGACAUUCAAAUUUGUUGCAUUUGCAUUUUUUUUACAUUGAUUUCGAAAUAAGAAAGGGACAACAAAAGGCUUCCUUCUCUAACCUUAAUGUAUGCAACCCGUCAUUACAUUACGAAUCCGAAAAUUGUUCGCGGAGCGAAAAAUCCUGAACAUCCGAACUUACUCUGAAUACGUUCAUGUUGUACUGCGCGAACACUACUAUAAGCCGUGGAGAACAAAACUAAAGUUAUAGGCCCAAAUAAACUACAGCUGUGAAAUUAGCAUACCUCGUUCCAAGGUACAUUCGAAGGUUUCCCGAUUACGGGUGCCCAUAUAAAAAUUUUCAGGGGGGGCAGACGAGAAGAUGUUGCACAUUAUAUUUUAAACUUUGGAUAACCAUAUAUAAUUUACAGCUCCCGAAAAGCAAGGGGGACCAUACCUCCCCCCUCUUCUGUUGGCGAUCCAAAUGGCAAUUGUAGCUUUGGAAACUGCUGCACGAAAGUGCUAUUUUUAAUUUUAAAUAUUUCAUUCAAAAGAAACUUUUUGUUAUUCUAAGGGACUUUUGGUCCUCGGUAAUAAUGUAAUCUUUCAUUCUGCGUUUAAACUUUUCGAAAAUAUUUAUUAGGUUUCUCAGGAUUCGAAAAAAAUGAAUGCGUUUAAAUAAUAUUGGACCAAGAUUUCGCGCCUACCCCCUUUAAAAAACGUUUAUUUCGUCGCUCCUUUUAGCUCUUCGUAUAUUUCUAAUUCGACGAAAUAUUGAAGGUAUUCAAUAGCAAUAGCAGUUUUGCAAUCUGUUCAUGUUUUUUCGCUUCCUUAUUUUCCUUCAUUUCUCUUUGAGGUUGCAUAUUUUAAUGCUUAUUGAAUGAUCGGAGCAGAUUUUUCUACAAAAUAAGAAAAAAUAUCCAGUAAAACGUACAUAACUGCUACCGACUUAAAGCCCAUAGUCCGUGAUUGAUUUUCUUAAAUACUCAGUUUCCGAGUUCUUCUUCUUUUUGUGUAGACAUGACUCUGUUUUUCAAUGUGCCUUGAUUCCAUUGGCCAUGAUAUCUACAUUAACCCUGGAAAGUGUAUUUUUGAGAAUAUGCUCGGAGUACAGAUUAAAAAUCAAUAGUGACAAGAUGAAUCCCCAUGUAGAAUUUCAAUUAAUUCAGAAGUAUUUAGUUAUAUUAUUUUCUUUUAGUCUGUGUAUUAUAUUGUGACGCUCCUAGACCCCGAUUGACCGCCGAAGAUUCCGGCCUAUUGUUUGUAAUUCCGCCUAAACAAUUUUUUGUCUGCCUAAGCUAGGAUAAUUUAUUACCUGUUUGAUUUCUGAUGUAAACAUUCUAUUCAUUCUAGAACUUUGCCGAAUGUACUAGUAAAUUGUUUUUUUACCUGUAGUUAAUUUAUUCCGUAUUUUAAAGCCUUAUAUGUUUUUCGGAAUGUUCGAUAAAGCUGUUUGUCUACAUAUUGUUUACCUUUCGAUUUUUCUAGACUAACUGUAAAUACUAUUUAAGGAAACCAAAAUGAAUGUUUGGGGGCAGUCUAAUAAAGCGGUGGUUAUGUUGUCUUUUCUUUUUUUUUUUCUUCUUUCUUCUUUUUAUGUAGACGUAGAUAUGACUCUGUCUGUUUUUCAAUGUGCCUCCAGUAAGUUGACAUUCCAUCGUUUUCUUGGUCUUCCCACUGAUCGUCUUCCUAUUAGGGAACCGUCUCUCGCCGUCCUUAUUUGUUGUCAUUUGGCCUAUGUGUUCGUUCCAUUCUACUCUUCUGUUUUACCCAAUUAUUAAUGUUGUCUACCUUGCAUUUCCGUCCUAUUAUGCACUUCUAGCUCUAUCCCAAAGUGUCUUACCAUCGAUUUUUCGAAAGGUUUUCAUCUCUGCUGUUUCUAGCAUUCUUUUUGUUCUGUCUGUAUGAAAUCGUUUUUCUGCUGCGUAUGUCAUUAUUGGUCUGAUGACUGUUUUGUAAAUUCUGCCUUUCACUUCUUUUCCGAUAUUUUUUUCUCCAUAUUGUUUCGUUCAAGCAACUUGCGGUCUGUUUGCUUUAUUCACUUGAUCUUCCACUUCUGUUAUGAGCUUUCCGUAGCUAGAUAGUUUAACGCCUAGAUAUUUAAACUCCAUGACUUGUUCUAUUAUCUGACCUGGAGGGCCAGGCAAUAGAACCCGAGACUUAAUAUUCCGAGUUGAAACUUGGAUUUUGGCUAUAAUAAACUUUCCACUCUUUAAAUGAAGUAAAAGUCAGACUUACUCUCAAUCUUUAUUAUAACUUCCGACGACCGGUUUCGCUCUUUAAAAUUUGUAGAGCAUCUUCAAGUCAAAGGUAACAAGUUGCAAAAUGCUACAAAUAAACAAAAACCAGAGUUAGGACAUUGUCUGGUUGUAAAAGAUGCUAAAGAUCCAUAAGAUCAAGCCAAUGUUGAAUAACAUACAUAAAAGUAGCGAAAUAGCAUACCAAUGCACAUGCAUGCAAUCAUGGGGGGUGGUAAAACUUCCCCCAAGCGCACAAACAUGUGCAGAAGUAUGCUCUAUAUAAUCAUGCAAUUAUAACGUGUCGUACUUACAUUCGGAUACAAGGUGCUACCAACUCAGUAUUCAUUAUAUAUAGAUGCUUUAACAGAAACAUCAUGAUAAUGAAUACUGAGUUGGUAGCACCUUGUAUCCGAAUGUAAGUACGACACGUUAUAAUUGCAUGAUUAUAUAUAGCAUACUUCUGCACAUGUUUGUGCGCUUGGGGGAAGUUUUACCACCCCCCAUGAUUGCAUGCAUGUGCAUUGGUAUGCUAUUUCGCUACUUUUAUGUAUGUUAUUCAACAUUGGCUUGAUCUUAUGGAUCUUUAGCAUCUUUUACAACCAGACAAUGUCCUAACUCUGGUUUUUGUUUAUUUGUAGCAUUUUGUAACUUGUUACCUUUGACCUGAAGAUGCUCUACAAAUUUUAAAGAGCGAAACCGGUCGUCGGAAGUUAUAAUAAAGAUUGAGAGUAAGUCUGACUUUCACUUCAUUUAAAAUGAACUCUCACAUGCAACCCAUUCAAGAUUUCCACUGUUUCUUCCUAGUUCACUUCAGUAAAAUUUAUUCGUUGCAUAUACCACAAACUACAAACUGACUAAACGUUUUUGCGUUACUGCAUUUAAAUAGUAUUUAUACUUUUGAGUUUGUUCAUAUUCGUUACACAACUAAUGGAAGAAUGCAAUUGUACUAAAAUUAGUAAUAAGAUUGAAGAGCUUUACUUUUUAGAGUAGCUUUUUUGAAAUUGUAUAUAAAUUGUUAUUUGUUACAUACUGCUGUACAUUCUAACUACACGUUAAUUAUUUAAUGUAAUAAGAUCCUAUAUUUCUACUACUAAA